rnacentral:rRNA from 2 species
CCCCUAGUAACUGCGAGUGAAGCGGGAAAAGCUCAAAUUUAAAAUCUGGCAGUCUUUGGCUGUCCGAGUUGUAAUCUAGAGAAGUGUUAUCCGCGUUGGACCGUGUACAAGUCUCCUGGAAUGGAGCAUCAUAGAGGGUGAGAAUCCCGUCUUUGACAUGGACUACCAGUGCUUUGUGAUGCGCUCUCAAAGAGUCGAGUUGUUUGGGAAUGCAGCUCAAAAUGGGUGGUAAAUUCCAUCUAAAGCUAAAUAUUGGCGAGAGACCGAUAGCGAACAAGUACCGUGAGGGAAAGAUGAAAAGAACUUUGGAAAGAGAGUUAAACAGUACGUGAAAUUGCUGAAAGGGAAACGCUUGAAGUCAGUCGCGUUGGCUGGAAAUCAACCUUGCUUUUGCUGGGCGUACUUUCUAGUCAAUGGGUCAGCAUCAAUUUUGACCAUUGGAAAAAGUGUAGGGGAAUGUGGCAUCUUCGGAUGUGUUAUAGCCCCUGCUCGCAUACAAUGGUUGGGAUUGAGGAAUUCAGCAGGGAAAAAA